AGUGAGUGAUGACAAAAUGCUUGGUUCCAGACGAUACAUAACUGCUUAUGUAAAUUUAUUUCUGACAUU